AACGAGGCCGACCUGCGGCUGAGUUACCUGCGGAAGGAUCAUUACAACAAGGUUCCCUGGCCCUCGAAGCUUCGGCGGAGGGGCGCUACAGCCUGACUUUAUACCCACCCUUUGCCUAUGUGUACCCCUAUUGCUUCCCUCGGCGGGUUCGCCCGCCGACAGGAACCAACUAAACCCUUUGCAUUAUACAUUUAACACUUCCGAUACAAAACUAAAUUAUUACAACUUUUAGCAAUGGAU
rnacentral:misc_RNA from 1 species